UGUUUUGAAAUAGUCUGCAUUACCGCCGACUACGCUUUUUCUUUUUGACAGUAGUUGUAUCAACUUGAAUCGGAACGUAGUGUAACCACCCACCACCAUAUUGAAAAAUAAAUUAGUUUAUCGAUGAUGAAUUGAUGAUGAGCAAGUGUUAUUAGUGUUUUAAAGUGAUAAAAGUUUAAUGUAUAUUAGAAAAAAUGGCUGGAAAUUUCGGAAUGCAGCAGCUAAUCCCUAUUGUAAACAAAUUGCAAGAUGCAUUUGUGCAAAUGGGCGUGCACAUGUCUUUAGAUCUCCCCCAAAUUGCAGUUGUGGGUGGUCAGUCUGCAGGAAAGAGUUCGGUGUUAGAAAACUUUGUAGGCAGGGAUUUUCUACCCCGAGGAUCCGGAAUAGUAACUCGUCGCCCAUUGAUUCUGCAGCUCAUACAUGGAAACACAGAAUAUGCGGAGUUCCUCCACUGCAAAGGCAAGAAAUUCGUUGAUUUCAAUGAAGUACGCGCCGAGAUCGAAUCCGAGACUGACCGCAUCACCGGCUCCAACAAGGGUAUCUCACCAGUCCCGAUCAAUCUGCGUGUAUACUCCCCAAAUGUGCUCAACUUGACCCUGAUUGACUUGCCGGGUCUGACGAAGGUGCCCAUUGGCGACCAGCCCGCGGACAUCGAGCAGCAGAUCAAGGGCAUGAUCUUCCAGUUCAUCAGGCGCGAGUCAUGUCUCAUCCUCGCCGUCACGCCCGCCAACACCGACUUGGCCAACAGCGAUGCUUUGAAACUCGCGAAGGAAGUCGAUCCACAAGGUCUGCGUACGAUCGGUGUGAUUACGAAGCUAGAUUUGAUGGACGAAGGCACGGAUGCUCGCGAUGUGCUCGAGAACAAACUGUUGCCGCUGCGCCGCGGGUACAUCGGCGUCGUCAACCGAUCGCAGAAGGAUAUCGAUGGACGCAAGGAUAUCACCGCCGCUUUGGCUGCGGAGAGGAAAUUCUUCCUCAGCCACCCUUCAUACCGUCACUUGGCAGAUCGUCUCGGCACCCCGUACCUCCAACGCGUUCUCAACCAACAGCUGACGAACCACAUCCGCGACACUUUGCCCGGCCUUCGCGAUAAGUUGCAGAAACAGUUGCUGACACUCGAGAAAGAUGUCGACCAGUACAAGCACUUUAGACCUGACGACCCUUCUAUCAAGACUAAGGCUAUGUUGCAGAUGAUCCAGACUUUGCAAACGGACUUUGAGCGCACAAUCGAAGGUUCUGGAUCAGCACAGAUCAACACAAACGAACUGUCGGGCGGUGCCAAAAUCAAUCGGUUGUUCCACGAACGAUUCCCAUUCGAAAUUGUCAAAAUGGAAUUCGACGAGAAGGAACUGCGUAGAGAGAUUGCAUUCGCUAUUAGGAAUAUUCACGGUAUUAGGGUGGGCUUGUUCACUCCGGACAUGGCGUUCGAGGCUAUUGUAAAGAAACAGAUUGCGCGAUUGAAGGAACCCAGUCUCAAGUGCGUUGAUCUUGUCGUAUCGGAGUUGUCCAACGUCGUUCGUAUCUGCACUGAAAGGAUGUCGCGAUACCCCAGGUUGCGUGAAGAGACGGAACGCAUUAUCAUGUCUUACGUUCGUUCUCGCGAACAAAUGUGCAAGGAUCAACUGGUAUUGCUUAUCGACUGCGAGCUUGCUUACAUGAAUACUAACCACGAGGACUUCAUCGGAUUUGCCAAUGCUCAAAAUCAGUCUGAGAACUCUACGAAAUCAGGACAUCGCGCGCUAGGAAACCAAGUCAUCAGGAAAGGAUACAUGUGUAUUCACAACUUGGGAAUCAUGAAAGGAGGUUCCAAGGAUUACUGGUUCGUGUUGACUGCGGAAAGCAUCUCGUGGUUCAAAGACGAGGAAGAACGAGAGAAGAAGUACAUGCUACCUCUAGACGGACUCAAGCUGCGGGAUCUCGAACAGGGCUUCAUGUCGCGGCGGCAUAUGUUCGCGCUCUUCAACCCUGAAGGCAGGAAUGUGUACAAGGAUUACAAACAACUAGAGUUGUCGUGUGAGACACAAGACGACGUCGACUCUUGGAAGGCGUCGUUCCUACGCGCGGGAGUCUACCCAGAGAAGACGUCCGAAGCUGCCAAUGGAGACGAGAGUGAAGGAACCGAGUUAUUUCCGCCUUCCCUGGGUUUGGGUGGAAAUAAAUCAAGAAGCUCAGACAGUUCAGGCACAAGUAGCAUGGACCCGCAACUAGAGCGACAGGUGGAGACUAUCCGCAACCUCGUGGACUCGUACAUGCGCAUCGUGACCAAGACGACCCGCGACCUCGUGCCGAAGACCAUCAUGAUGAUGAUCAUCAAUAAUGCCAAAGAUUUCAUCAACGGGGAACUGCUUGCGCAUCUUUAUGCUUCCGGUGACCAGUCACAAAUGAUGGAAGAAUCCCCCGAAGAGGCACUGAAGCGCGAGGAAAUGCUGCGCAUGUACCACGCGUGCAAGGAGGCUUUACGGAUAAUCGGCGACGUUUCCAUGGCGACGGUGAGCACGCCCGUGCCGCCGCCCGUGAAGAACGACUGGCUGGAGAGCCGCCUGGACUCCAACCCGCGCCUGUCGCCGCCCUCGCCCGGCGGCCCGCGCCGCGCCGCGCCCGCGCAACAAGGGUCGUUGGGCAGCCGCGGUGCCCCUCCCCCUCCCGGCGGCGCGGGGCGGCCGGCGCCCCCACUGCCCUCGCGCCCCGGCGGCGGCGCCCCCCCGCCCCCCGCCGGACGACCUGCUCCUGGACAACCCGGCUUGCCCGCGCCACUUGUACCCACGAGGCCGGGAGGAGCGAUGGGAGCGAGCGCGGUGGCCGGCGCCUACAACCAGAUGCCGCCCCACAUGCGCCAACAGGUCAACCAGGCAGUCGGCCAGGCCGUCACCAACGCGGCCAUCAACGAACUCAGCUCAGCCUUCGCCAGAUUCAAGUAAACACGACUCUGUUGUCCGUAACGACUGUUGUAUGUACGCAACGCAUUUGUGGGAAACGCCCUCACUUCGAUCUCUUGCGCGCAUCUUUGGGUGACGUCACUAUCUUGUCACCUUUGAACAAAAUGACUAGCGAGAUAUCUUGCCCAAAAUCUCCUAAGAAAGUAGCGCGCCAAAAUGCGGAUUUUCGGGGGACGAGGUAUGUUCUUUGGGAAAAUCAAAUCACGUGUGAAUGUCUCAAGGAACCCUCGUUAGUUUAAUAGUAGGUAACUGAUCUAUUUGGUCGUGUCUACUCGACUUACAAGAAGGUGCCUGACCUACCUGCCUCAUGGCAUCUCCGCUCAUCUUUCCUUUCUACGUGGUGACGUCACAACCUCGUCGUCGGACGCGGUUUUGAAAGUCAAGUGUUAGAUGCGCGCUAACACAUAUCAGUAUUGACGUUCCUAGUACAAGUAUACAGCAGAACGGACAUAUCAAUGUUGUUACCCCUACUGCCCCACAUAAUUUGACUUACAUUUGGUAUCACACUAUUUUCCUAUCACAUAAAAGAAAAACUUCACGUGAAAUGUGUGUACCAAUUUUUUUUAGAGGUAGACAUAUUUAAAUUAAAUGUGACGAUUCGAAGUGACUGCGUUUGUUACAAGUGAUGUCUGUUAGUUAACCAAUUUUCUCCUUGAUGUAAACUAUUGUAUGUCUUCUACAUGUAAUAUUGUAUAAAAUUUAAAACAUCGCCUAAAAUGAAAUAAAUAAUUAAGUUGUUAUCUAUUAGGAAUAUUUCCUAAUAUUAAAGCGGUGUUUUAAAGUUUAUAAUAAAAGUUCUGUUGCUUAUGAUGUUUUUACAAAAUAACUUUAUCCGAGCAUUUUCAGAGCACAUUGUUUAACCGCUUGAACGUUUAGUGUGAACUAAACCUGUCUGUACGUGGGUCUAUAUGCAGUGUUGUGUUACAUUGCUUUGCGUCCAACCACUGUAAAUGUAAUCCAAUGUGCCUGUGUAACAAUGUACGCUGCACACGAUAUAAACUCUGCUUGUGAUACAUAACCAACGUUACCCUAGGGUUAUACGAUUUUAUAUAUUUAAUUAUAUUUUGUGUUUGUUAUAAAUUCGGUCAAAUGUAAAUUGACGUCCAAAUCACUCCUAAAUAGUAAAGCUCAAUCAUCACAAUAUGAAAAUCACGGAGAUCACACAAUGUUAUGAACAUUGCAUUCAUAGUAAUAAAUUACCCACAACAAUGACAUCAGUUCUAUGUAUUGUUACCGAUAUUGUGGCAUAGGAUUUUUGUGUACAUUCCAAUGAAUUUAAUUUCGAUGCAAGUGAGAUAUGUUUGCGAGGAUUUUUUAAAUAACGUCUAUAACAAGCUAAUGACCACAUAAAAUACUUGCAAACUUAUCUACACUUUUCAUAAAUAAUGAUUUAUGUAAUGGAAUUUAGGUUAUAAUUUAUUAGGGUUGUUACCCAAUAUUGUAUUACUUACAACAAAGAAACUUAAUUAUGUAUAGCGUCAAAAUUAUAAAACGACUAAAUUGUUCAGUAUUAAUAGUGAACGAGGUAUCGGUUCACAGCGCUUCAUGAUUAUGAGAUGAGACAUACGUAUGCUAAACGCGAAUAUACCGCGGACUACGUAUUACUUAAAUUAUUAUAAUUACAAUGUAAUUACAUUUGUGUUACGAUUAAUUGUAAAUGUUACAUUCAGUGGCUUAAUAUAGGUGUAUAUUGGGAUUACGUAGUUGAGUUGUUUCGCGGAGGGCAUUACGGGCUCCCGCGCUGGGCCGGGAGUCCUCGAGCAUAUCAAAUUGUUUUGUAAUGUGCUAGAGUUGUUUGUACACUAUGUAAAGACGAGAUAAUAUUUGUUGAUGUUGCCGCACCAUUGUCGCGUAGAACUAGCUGCGUAGUAACAGUCGUUACAACUUGUACUCACGUCAGUGUCUAGGUGUUACAGUAGUUUAGAACUUUGACACGCUCGUCUAAUCUCUUUCCGUCUCCAGUAGCGACGAUGCGUAUUUAACGUUUAUGCAUUUACUCUAAAUUAUACCCAGCUUGAUUGUUGUUGUAUAUUUACAACUAUGUCAGUAUAAUCUGGUAUUUAGUCAACACUGGUAACACGUAACUUAUGAAAUCGUAACGAUAUUAUAUCGAUUAAAAUUUGUAUGUAAAAUUAACUGUACUUAUAAUGGAUAAGACCAAAGCAGUUGUCUCGUAUAUUGUUGCUGUUAGCAAUACCUUUGGUCAAUUAUUAGAACAUUUUAUUGAUGGUGAUACAAUAUGAAUUCGUUAUUAAAAAUAUUAAAUAAAGCUUAUCGAUAUUUUAAUCUUGGAAUCAUCUUGCAUCCAUUUUUCAUUGUUUACGAUUGCGAUAAUUGACACUGAACAUCGUGACAGCGGUGAUGUGCAUACUACGGUCCAGUAGUGUGAGGACGUGAGCGGAGUCGCGGUGACAGUGCGAGCGUGCCACGGCCGAGUUCCUACACGAAGAAGUGUUUAACGCUGUAGCUAUACUCAUUGCUCUAUCGAUAUUAGCCGAAUAAUAUACAAAGUAAUCGAUCAUUAAACGUUUUGCUCUCUCUAUCUUGUUAAUAGCGUUAGUACCAUCGAAAAGGUAUAGGCAGUGAUUGUUGGAUUUGAUAUAGUUUAUGAAUAUUGUUAAUCUUAUGCUGUAUAAAUAGAGUAAUUAAAUGCUAUAUGUGUACUAAAGACGUUUGAUUUAUUCCAGUAGUUUUGGCAAACAUAAUGCCCAUUGGCUUCACUAAGUUACUAACAGUUUCGGAUAAUAUUACCGAAAGGAUUUAAUUUUAGUCGUCCAGUGCCGAACAUGCCGCCGAAGCUGCCUGAGCGACCACAGAACGGACGGCCAUUUUGAACGCGCCACAUCUUCGCCGCCAUCUUGUGAUACUAAGCGUCAAUGUAAAUAUGUUCCCUACUAUGUACCUAUAUUGCUUACAAUUAUUUAAUGCUUAGCAUUGACUAAUGACUAUGAGUCGAUGAAAUUCGUAUUUACAAUAUAAUUUAAAACUAAAUAGUUAAAUUUUUAUCUUCUUACUACGAGCCCAUAAAAAGGAGCGCUUGCAAAAUGUGUAAUGUAAAGUGAGGAACUUGCAUUAACUAAUGUAAUAAGUUACUGAAUACUUAAUAUUGGUCGCGUUUGAGUUAUCAGCGUGCCUUUGUCUUAAUAAUACAAUGCGUAACUUUGUAAUUUGUUGGUACAUUUCGUGAUGAUAAGCACUAGCACGCGAUCUUAUAGAUGUACGUAUAAUUAAUGGUAAUGAGUAUGACACAUGUUACGAUGACCUAUAUUCAAUGUUGCAGUUGAUGAAUUAAUAAUGAAAUUAUUGUUUGGUUUAGAUAUUUAAAAAUAUUUUAAUGUCCUUGUGCUGAAGUGAUGUCUGUAGCAAGCUGUCGGAUCUUCGACUGAUAUUAUAAGUAGGAUAUUGGCAUGUUUGUGAUAGAAGAGGCUACUCAAUAAAAUGGUUGCGCCUUCAAGUAGAGAUGUACUUUUCACAUUUAACGUGUUAUUGUGGCAUUUAGUAUUAAGACCUGGCUCGUGAGCAUCGAGGCGGUUAUGCAUCGACUUUAAAGAGAUUCUAAUGUACAGACAAAGCAUUUAUUAUAUAACUGACUUGUCCGAUGUAUUCUAACGUCUGUACAUACCUUUAUAAGACUAGUCAAGCUUUAUCUUUUACUAUAUUUGAAUUUACCUUUUUUAAUCAUGCCCAUAUUGUGUAGAUUGUUUUCUAGGAAAAUAUUUUAGUUUUCAUACAUUCCUUUAGCCUCGUGCUCCCGCGCCAGGUUGUUACAUGUAUAUAAAUGUAUAAAUAUUAUUAUAGACCUGUUUAUAUUUGUGUACUGUUGUAUGCAACUGUAAUAAAUGUGUAAAUAAAAUA